GACGAACGCUGGCGGCGUGCUUAACACAUGCAAGUCGAACGGAAAGGCCCUGCUUUUGUGGGGUGCUCGAGUGGCGAACGGGUGAGUAACACGUGAGUAACCUGCCCUUGACUUUGGGAUAACUUCAGGAAACUGGGGCUAAUACCGGAUAGGAGCUCCUGCUGCAUGGGGGGGGUUGGAAAGUUUCGGCGGUUGGGGAUGGACUAGCGGCUUAUCAGCUUGUUGGUGGGGUAGUGGCUUACCAAGGCUUUGACGGGUAGCCGGCCUGAGAGGGGGACCGGCCACAUGGGGACUGCGAUACGGCCCAGACUCCUACGGGAGGCAGCAGUGGGGAAUAUUGCACAAUGGGCGGAAGCCUGAUGCAGCAACGCCGCGUGCGGGAUGCCGGCCUUCGGGUUGUAAACCGCUUUCGCCUGUGACGAAGCGUGAGUGACGGUAAUGGGUAAAGAAGCACCGGCUAACUACGUG
rnacentral:rRNA from 1 species